rnacentral:ncRNA from 2 species
AAAGAUGGAAGGGGUAUUCAAAGAUUUCCACUCAGGACGAGGGAAGAAUUAACCCUCAAACGAUUAGGACUGUGAUUGCAUCUACACCUAGUCGUUACCGUAGUU